rnacentral:rRNA from 1 species
GACGAACGCUGGCGGCGUGCUUAACACAUGCAAGUCGAACGGAAAGGCCCUGCUUUUGUGGGGUGCUCGAGUGGCGAACGGGUGAGUAACACGUGAGUCACCUGCCCUUGACUUUGGGAUAACUUCAGGAAACUGGGGCUAAUACCGGAUAGGAGCUCCUGCUGCAUGGUGGGGGUUGGAAAGUUUCGGCGGUUGGGGAUGGACUCGCGGCUUAUCAGCUUGUUGGUGGGGUAGUGGCUUACCAAGGCUUUGACGGGUAGCCGGCCUGAGAGGGUGACCGGCCACAUUGGGACUGAGAUACGGCCCAGACUCCUACGGGAGGCAGCAGGGGGGAAUAUGGCACAAUGGGCGGAAGCCUGAUGCAGCAACGCCGCGUGCGGGAUGACGGCCUUCGGGUUGUAAACCGCUUUCGCCUGUGACGAAGCGUGAGUGACGGUAAUGGGUAAAGAAGCACCGGCUAACUACGUG